UACGUAGGGGGCAAGCGUUGUCCGGAUUCAUUGGGCGUAAAGAGCGUGUAGGCGGCCAGGUAGGUCGGUUGUGAAAACUGGAGGCUCAACCUUCAGAGGUCGACCGAAACCAUCUGGCUAGAGUCCGGGAGAGGAGAGUGGAAUUCCUGGUGUAGCGGUGAAAUGCGCAGAUAUCAGGAGGAACACCGGUGGCGAAGGCGGAUCUCUGGGCCUGUUCUGACGCUGAGGCGCGAAAGCUAGGGGAGCGAACAGG
rnacentral:rRNA from 1 species